GAUAACCGGGGCGGGAUAAGCGGGAUGGGACAACCGGGGUGGGAUAACCGGGGCGGGAUAAGCGGGAUGGGACAACCGGGGUGGGAUAACUGGGGCGGGAUAAGCGGGAUGGGACAACCGGGGUGGGUCAGUCGGGAGGGGGUAACAGGGACAGGACAAUCGGGAUGGAACAAUCGGCGUGGGAUCACCGCCAUGACCCGGUGGGGGGGGAGCACGGAGGGAGCCUUGGAUGGUCGGGAAUGGCUUGAACGCCUUGCUGGUGAUUCUCCUCCACGGUAUUAAAGCAAAUUCGCACAGGCACGCCGCGUGUUGUUGGCUUCUCCUCUUCGGCUUCUUCUUUUUGUUCCUUUCCCCAACCCGAAAUACCGGGAUUUGUGAUGCUUUCAGGCUGAAAUGCUUUCGUGGGAAAUGAGGCCCUCAGCUGGUAGUAGGGAGGCUGACAGGACAGGUAGCAGAUACUUAAAUUAGUGGCACUGGAGCUUUAGAGCUUAUGGACUCUAGAAUUUAUAAGCUGCAUUACCAGAAUUUAUUAGCUGUGUUACGUAGCUUGAGUAUUUGGGAAGAGGACGCUUAAAUUAUGUUGGUGUGCAGCUAUAGGCACGUGGGUGAUAAAAGGAAGAUUAGGGGAAACAUGGGCCCUCUCAAAAGGGAAAUGGGACACCUGGUUACCUGGGAUAUGGAGAAGGCUGAGGUACUCCACGAUUUUUUUGCCUCAGUCUUCACUAGCAAGUGACACCACCAGAGCUGCAGAAGGCAAGGCAAGGAUGAGAAUGAAGAACCACCUGCUGUAGGAGAAGAUUGGGUUUGAGACUGUCUAAGGAACCUGAAGGUGCACAAGUCCAUGGGAUUUGAUGAGAUGCAUCCACUGAACCUGGGGGGUCUUGCAGAUGAAGUGUCUAAGCUGCUAUCCAUAUAUGAGAAGCUAAGGUAGUCUGGUGAAUUUCCCACUGGCUGGAAAGGGGAAAAUAUAGCCCCCCUUUUUAAAAAGAGAAAAAAGGAAGUCAUGCCUCUGUGCCCAGCAAGAUCAUGGAGCAGAUCUUCCUGGAUCCUAUGUUAAGAUGGAAGGCUUCAGACUUGUUAAUCAAUGCUGUUGUAUGCACUGUGACAGAUGGAAGUAUCUAUUUUAUAGCAGAGUAGAGAUGUCAACUGCAUUACUAUGUAUGUGUGUCCACAUACAUUUCCCCGAAUCAGUUACAAGGGCACCUUCUCCUUCCUCUCCUCUGGGACCAAGCCCCUGGACCAUCUGCUGUAAAUUUGCUCUGGCAGAACUAAAAAAUAAAAAUGGUUUUCGAAACUGUAA